GUAUAGCUGAAUACUAUUUUCUUAUAUCAGUAUUUUACACAGCCAGACACCAUGCAAAAGUAGUCUUCCCUUUAAAAUGAUUUAUGGUAUGCUGAGUUUUUCCACAGCAUAUCAUUAUUGAAGGUGAAAACAAAU
rnacentral:snoRNA from 1 species